GCCCGGGUGGCUCAGUCGGAUGAGCAUCUGACUUCAGCUCAGGUCAUAAUCUCGCAGCUCAUGAGUUCGAGCCCCACGUCGGGCU
rnacentral:tRNA from 1 species